rnacentral:rRNA from 1 species
AUUGAACGCUGGCGGCAUGCCUUACACAUGCAAGUCGAACGGCAGCACGGGUGCUUGCACCUGGUGGCGAGUGGCGAACGGGUGAGUAAUACAUCGGAACGUACCUUAUCGUGGGGGAUAACGCAGCGAAAGCUGUGCUAAUACCGCAUACGCCCUGAGGGGGAAAGCGGGGGAUCGAAAGACCUCGCGCGAUUAGAGCGGCCGAUGCCUGAUUAGCUUGUUGGUGGGGUAAAAGCCCACCAAGGCGACGAUCAGUAGCUGGUCUGAGAGGACGAUCAGCCACACUGGGACUGAGACACGGCCCAGACUCCUACGGGAGGCAGCAGUGGGGAAUUUUGGACAAUGGGGGAAACCCUGAUCCAGCAAUGCCGCGUGAGUGAAGAAGGCCUCGGUUGUAAGCUCUUUGUCAGGAGAACACCGGCUCUAACACAGUCCGGGAA